GACGAACGCUGGCGGCGUGCCUAACACAUGCAAGUCGAGCGGAGUCGAUCGACGGAAGCCUUCGGGCGGAAGAUGGUUGACUUAGCGGCGGAUGGGUGAGUAACGCGUGGGCAACCUGCCUCGAAGACCGGGAUAACAGCCCGAAAGGGCUGCUAAUACCGGAUGUGGUCAAAGAUCCGCAUGGAUUUUUGAUUAAAGGGGAACCCGUUUCGAGAUGGGCCCGCGUCCUAUCAGCUAGUUGGUGAGGUAAAAGCUCACCAAGGCGACGACGGGUAGCCGGCCUGAGAGGGUGACCGGCCACACUGGAACUGAGACACGGUCCAGACUCCUACGGGGGGCAGCAGUGGGGAAUCUUCCACAAUGGGCGAAAGCCUGAUGGAGCGACGCCGCGUGAGCGAAGAAGGCCUUGGGUUGUAAAGCUCUGUCUGGAGGGACGAAGGAAGUGACGGUACCUCCGGAGGAAGCCACGGCUAACUACGUGCCAGCAGCCGACGGUAAAAGUACUACUAU
rnacentral:rRNA from 1 species